rnacentral:rRNA from 1 species
AUUGAACGCUGGCGGCAGGCUUAACACAUGCAAGUCGAGCGGAGCGAGGGUGCUUGCACCUUAGCUUAGCGGCGGACGGGUGAGUAAUGCUUAGGAAUCUGCCUAUUAGUGGGGGACAACAUUCCGAAAGGAAUGCUAAUACCGCAUACGCCCUACGGGGGAAAGCAGGGGAUCUUCGGACCUUGCGCUAAUAGAUGAGCCUAAGUCGGAUUAGCUAGUUGGUGGGGUAAAGGCCUACCAAGGCGACGAUCUGUAGCGGGUCUGAGAGGAUGAUCCGCCACACUGGGACUGCGACGCGGCCCAGACUCCAACGGGAGGCAGCAGUGGGGAAUAUUGGACAAUGGGCGGAAGCCUGAUCCAGCCAUGCCGCGUGUGUGAAGAAGGCCUUUUGGUUGUAAAGCACUUUAAGCGAGGAGGAGGCUACUUAGAUUAAUACUCUGGGAUAGUGGACGUUACUCGCAGAAUAAGCACCGGCUAACUCUGUGCCAGCAGCCGCCGCAGUAAAAC